UAGAAAGACCUGGCUUUGAAUCUCAGCUCCCAAUUUCCUAGUUAUAUGAUUCUGGGAAAAUCCAUUAACUUCUUUAAAUGUCAGUUUUCUUCUCUGAAAAAUGGAUAUAAAGCCAUCUCCAUGCUUCUUGUGAGGAUUAAAUCAAACACUAUAUAAAGUAUUUGAACAUAUAAAUGAGACACUAUGUCACCAGCACAUGGGUGCUUAAUAAAUACAAGGGUCCUCUUGCCCAUACAGACGAGAAGUAUUAUUAUCCCAAGAAUAGCAUUUUUCAGUCGUCUGUAUGCUCCCAGGACAUUUCUCCGUCCCAGUUCUCAUUGCCUUUCCUGCUUCUGUCUGGGCUGGAGAGGCCAGAGCUGUGGUAAGUGCAGCCCAAGUUCACUGUCCGGCUUCAGCCUUCCUCCACCGGUCACGGAGCUCCACCUCCUCUCUGUGUGGAGACACUCCUAGUGGGACCCAUGAUCCAGUUACAAUCAUAUGCUCUCCAAGCUUUGGUACCAACACUUACUGAUCCUAUGUGCCAGAUACUCUGCUGGCUUCCAGAUACUGAGGAGCCCGCUGCCUUGUGACAUGGAGAGGGAAGAACAGGGGCUGUAGGAGCAGAGAAAUAGCACCUAACCCAGCAGUCUAGAGGGCUUCCAGACAGAACGUGGAUCCCUCCAAACCGAGGGGGUGCGCCCGGUGACGCCAAGGCCUCUUUCUGCUCUGAAAUGCCAUGGUGCCCUGCCUAUGGCCUUGUAUGGAACGGGGAACAGAAAUCAGGGAUUAACAAGCUGGAAAAACUCAAAGGAGAGGUCACUGGAAAAUUACUAAGGUGCUUAUUAAAUCAAAGGAAGACUGCAUUUAUGUUCUUCCGGUUUCGAGGACUGAUUGCUGCUAAUCUUGAUUUCAGAGUAACUCAAGAGCUUAAAAAAUACGCCAGAUGCCACAGAAUCAGAGAACACCUGACAGAUGUCGAAACGGGUGAAGCGCUUUGCCCAGGUCACCCCCCCAGCUUGGGUGUUUAUGCAUCUAUGUCACCACUGACUCCUGCUGGGUCAGGGUUCAUGCCCUUGUCUGUGCCAUGGACCCUUCUGGCAAUCUGGGGAAGCCUAGCGACGGAUUCCAUCUCAGAACGAUGAUUUCAAAUACAUGAAGUAAAAAGCUUUAGUUCCCUUCUCAGAAUAGUGAUUUUAAAUGCAUGAAUUAAAAUACAUAGACACAUGAAAUAACCAAUUCUACUUGAGUUAUUAAAAUAAUUUAAAAAUACAAAACAGUAAUACGUGCUUCAUUUUUAACAUAUUAAACAAUUAAAUUUAUUCCCAUAAUUUCUAAGUAGUGAUAUGUAAAUUGUUUU
rnacentral:lncRNA from 1 species